UACGAAGGGUGCAAGCGUUAAUCGGAAUUACUGGGCGUAAAGCGUGCGUAGGCGGUUUGUUAAGUCCGUUGUGAAAGCCCUGGGCUCAACCUGGGAAUUGCAGUGGAUACUGGCAAGCUAGAGUCAGGUAGAGGGUGGUGGAAUUCCCGGUGUAGCGGUGAAAUGCGUAGAGAUCGGGAGGAACAUCUGUGGCGAAGGCGGCCACCUGGACCAUGACUGACGCUGAGGCACGAAAGCGUGGGGAGCAAACAGG
rnacentral:rRNA from 1 species